CUUGUUUUGUUGCAGGCAUGGAGUACAGUAAGCAGCGCUUUAAAGUGUGGCUUCAUUUUACGUUGGAAAAAGCCCGGUAAAAACUGUAAAGCACCACUGAAUCAAAAAUAAAAUGUUCCUCUAAUCUGUGAAAUAAGCA